rnacentral:rRNA from 1 species
AACGAACGCUGGCGGCAGGCUUAACACAUGCAAGUCGAGCGCCCCGCAAGGGGAGCGGCAGACGGGUGAGUAACGCGUGGGAACGUGCCCUUUGCUACGGAAUAGCUCCGGGAAACUGGAAUUAAUACCGUAUGAGCCCUUUGGGGGAAAGAUUUAUCGGCAAGGGAUCGGCCCGCGUUGGAUUAGCUAGUUGGUGGGGUAAAGGCCUACCAAGGCGACGAUCCAUAGCUGGUCUGAGAGGAUGAUCAGCCACAUUGGGACUGAGACACGGCCCAAACUCCUACGGGAGGCAGCAGUGGGGAAUAUUGGACAAUGGGCGCAAGCCUGAUCCAGCCAUGCCGCGUGAGUGAUGAAGGCCUUAGGGUUGUAAAGCUCUUUCACCGGAGAAGAUAAUGACGGUAUCCGGAGAAGAAGCCCCGGCUAACUUCGUGCCAGCAGCCGCAGUAAGAC